rnacentral:rRNA from 1 species
AUUGAACGCUGGCGGCAUGCCUUACACAUGCAAGUCGAACGGCAGCACGGGAGCAAUCCUGGUGGCGAGUGGCGAACGGGUGAGUAAUAUAUCGGAACGUGCCCAGUAGUGGGGGAUAACUGCUCGAAAGAGCAGCUAAUACCGCAUACGACCUGAGGGUGAAAGGGGGGGAUCGCAAGACCUCUCGCUAUUGGAGCGGCCGAUAUCAGAUUAGCUAGUUGGUGGGGUAAAGGCCUACCAAGGCAACGAUCUGUAGUUGGUCUGAGAGGACGAACAGCCACACUGGGACAGAGACACGGCCCAGACUCCUACGGGAGGCAGCAGUGGGGAAUUUUGGACCAUGGGCGCAAGCCUGAUCCAGCAAUGCCGCGUGCAGGAAGAAGGCCUUCGGGUUGUAAACUGCUUUUGUCAGGGAAGAAAUCCUCUGGGUUAAUACCCUUGGGGGGAUGACGGUACCUGAAGAAUAAGCACCGGCUAACUACGUGCCAGCAGCCGCGGUAAUAC